UACGAAGGGGGGCUAGCGUUGCUCGGAAUCACUGGGCGUAAAGGGUGCGUAGGCGGGUCUUUAAGUCAGGGGUGAAAUCCUGGAGCUCAACUCCAGAACUGCCUUUGAUACUGAGGAUCUUGAGUUCGGGGAGAGGUGAGUGGAACUGCGAGUGUAGAGGUGAAAUUCGUAGAUAUUCGCAAGAACACCAGUGGCGAAGGCGGCUCACUGGCCCGGUACUGACGCUGAGGUGCGAAACGUGGGGACA
rnacentral:rRNA from 1 species